rnacentral:tRNA from 1 species
CAGAAUAUAGCGCAGUCUGGUAGCGCAAUCGCUUUGGGAGCGGGAAGCCGUGGGUUCAAAUCCUACUAUUCUGA